rnacentral:tRNA from 1 species
ACCGUGGCUUGGGGGUAGAACAUCUGCUUUGAACGCAGAACGCCCUGGGUUCAAAUCUUGGCAUCUCUA